UUCUGUCGAAACUCGAAAAUGGUA
rnacentral:siRNA from 1 species